rnacentral:rRNA from 1 species
AGAGUUUGAUCAUGGCUCAGGACGAACGCUGGCGGCGCGCCUAACACAUGCAAGUCGAACGAGAGAGAGGGAGCUUGCUUCCUUGAUCGAGUGGCGAACGGGUGAGUAACGCGUGAGGAACCUGCCUCAAAGAGGGGGACAACAGUUGGAAACGACUGCUAAUACCGCAUAAGCCCACGACCCGGCAUCGGGAAGAGGGAAAAGGAGCAAUCCGCUUUGAGAUGGCCUCGCGUCCGAUUAGCUAGUUGGUGAGGUAACGGCCACCAAGGCGACGAUCGGUAGCCGGACUGAGAGGUUGAACGGCCACNGUUGGGACUGAGACACGGCCCAGACUCCGUACGGGAGGCA